rnacentral:misc_RNA from 1 species
AAAGAGAAAGUUCUCCAUUUUGUUUUUGCAAAUAAGCCGAUCCUCGUAUUUACUAGCAGAUCCUUAUCUAACCAUGUAACCAUCUAUGAUCUUACUUCACUAUCCUAAUAACCAAAAUGUUACUCUAACCUAGUAUCCCACUUGAUAAGACCAAAAUGGCUGUUACAUUGAAACACAUAAACUGGCCAAACCAUUGAUGAAUGAUGCCAAGUUAUUAUCUUGCAAACAACAAAAUACUAUCUAGUCUCAAAAGGAUAAUAAAAACAAAUAACUAGAGCACUCCAAUAUAUCAUUGCUUAAUUCUUUGGCAAGAGGUAUUCCGAUCUGUAUGGGUGAUGAAGGCAUAGUCAUUUUGUAUUAAACACUGUCAUUUUUGUUAUUUAUCUAGUUAGUUGAUUGUUUUGGAUAUACUGUUUCUUAUCUAUUAGAAGAGAGUAAAUAGCUGAGAAUGAGCAGUAUGUUCUGUGUAAAAAGAAUAAUAGAAUCAUUAGCCCUCUUUCUUGAUUCUUCUAGAAUUUUUUUUUUCCCUUCUCUCCAUUUCUUCCUUCAUUCCUUCCCCUUCUCUCUACUUUCUCAGCUGCAAAACAAGAGUUAGGCCUGAAAAUAUCAGGUCCUAAAAAUAAUGCUUUUAAUAGGAAACAUUCUAAUAUUUAACAUCUCCCUGUAAGCACUGAAAUUGUAUUAAAAAAGAGGUAAAUCUCCAUUGAAAACCAUCACUUUUGUUGAAUGAAUGGAAUUACGGCUUUCUUCUCUAACUGAGCUUAUGCCCUUUAGGCCAUUCAGAAAAUUCACUUUAGAAGAAUAUCCUUUACCUCUAUCACCCUUAACUGAGCCAUAAGCCAUAAGAAGCCAACUUUGUUUAUCUUGUUUUUGUAAGCUUGAAAAAGAACUACUGUUGUUGAGGGCACCUAAAGUAUCCACUGGGCCUUUUAGCAUCUCAUAUUGAUGUAGAACAAAGGGAAAGA